rnacentral:lncRNA from 1 species
CCUAAUACAACAAUCCACAGAAAAGUCAACGAGCCACUCCUGGAAAAUCAAGAAGCGACUGCAAUAUCCAUUCAAAACCACUGACUUGAGGGCCAGAAAGGGCUUUAAGAUUCUUCUGAACACCUCCCUUUCACAGAUGAAGAACCCAGUGGUUUGGCAGAGGUGCUCAAGCAGAAAAGCCUCCCUCAUUUCUAACCCAGCCUCCCCACUCUGUAACUGAAACCUGUAAUUUGAUCCUCAGGGGACUGGCAGGACAGAUGGUCACUAAACAUCCUUCAAGUACCAACCUUUCCCAUCACAGAAGAUGCUGGCCAGGACAUUUCUGGUUCAAAUGAAAGAUACUCUGAUAAUAUCGACAAGGCUUCAAAUUCAAACAAGUUCCAUGCGCAAGUCUGAUUAAGUCAUCCUUAUUAAACGCAGAACAAUGAGGACAGUGUCAUGGCGGGAUUCAGCACAUACAGCAUUGCCUUUAAAGCUUUCAUGUACUCAGGGAAAGCCCGAUGGAAUCCUUGUCCUUCUAUUUCAAGUCAGAGAGUGGAGGAGAAUCAGCAGACCAACUGCCAAGAAGAGAGCUCAAGGUUAAACUCUCCUGACCCAGUCCCCAUCCCAGAGGUCCCUCCUUCUGCUUUCUCUCCUGUGCCCAGCAGCAAAUUGGACAGAAAACCAUCUUCAUUUUUUAUUCCACUUUGAAGCCACCAAGUCGAAUAAUUUCUCACUGAACUCGACUCUCAGCUGGAACUUCUCCCUGCCAUUUUCUAGCAUUCAAGCUGGUUAUAAAGGAAAUUUCUUCAGAAGGAGAGUAUUGGAGGAGAUCCAUCUGAAAUAGAGAAUGGCAUACACGAAGAUCCUGUUCCAGAUUACCCAUUAGAGGAUCAUCUCCUCAGCUAAGGCAGAUGUCAUCAAACCAAAAGUCACAGAGAGGGGGGUUUGCAAAAGUAUAGCACGAUGCCAGUGAAAAAUCCAGGUGUUGUCCACACAAGCUAUAAAUGAAGGGCUCAAUUCUGUCAAUUCAAUGAAAUUCCAU